rnacentral:rRNA from 1 species
GACGAACGCUGGCGGCGUGCUUAACACAUGCAAGUCGAACGGUAAGGCCCUUCGGGGUACACGAGUGGCGAACGGGUGAGUAACACGUGGGUGAUCUGCCCUGCACUUCGGGAUAAGCCUGGGAAACUGGGUCUAAUACCGGAUAGGACCCUGGGAUGCAUGUCCUGGGGUGGAAAGCUUUUGCGGUGUGGGAUGGGCCCGCGGCCCAUCAGCUUGUUGGUGGGGUGAUGGCCUACCAAGGCGACGACGGGUAGCCGGCCUGAGAGGGUGACCGGCCACACUGGGACUGAGAUACGGCCCAGACUCCUACGGGAGGCAGCAGUGGGGAAUAUUGCACAAUGGGCGCAAGCCUGAUGCAGCGACGCCGCGUGAGGGAUGACGGCCUUCGGGUUGUAAACCUCUUUCAGCACCGACGAGGCGCAAGUGACGGUAGGUGCAGAAGAAGGACCGGCCAACUACGUGCCAGCAGCCGCCGUAA